CCUCCGGGUGGCAGCAGUGAGGAAUAUUGGUCAAUGGGCGCGAGCCUGAACCAGCCAAGUAGCGUGAAGGAUGACUGCCCUACGGGUUGUAAACUUCUUUUAUAAAGGAAUAAAGUGCUUCACGUGUGCCUUUUUGUCUGUACUUUAUGAAUAAGGAUCGGCUAAAUCCUUGCCAGCAGCCGCGGUAAUACGGAUGGUGCGAGCGUUAUCCGGAUUUAUUUGGUUUAAAGGGAUCGAAGAGGGGUUGUUAAGUCAGUUGUGAAAGUUUAGGGCUCAACCGGGAAAUUGCAAUUGAUACUGGCAUGCUUGAGUACAGGUGAGGUAGGCGGAAUUCGUGGUGUAGCGGUGAAAUGCUUAGAUAUAACGAAGAACUCCGAUUGCGAAGGCAGCUUAAUAAACUGCAACUGACAUUGAUGCUCGAAAGUGUGGGUAUCAAACAGGAUUAGAUACCCGUGUAGUC
rnacentral:rRNA from 1 species